UCCCGUGGACGAGGUGCCCCCGCUCCGCGCCCCAGCGGCCCCGACUGCACCCUAGUCUUCAGGGGUCACCUGAGGGCUCCGCUGCCCGACGGCGCUAGGCUUGGGAUGCUCAUCACCCGCCUCGCCAAGCCGGCCACGGGCCGGAGGGAGGGCGCCGCGAGUGGGAAUUGUGUGUUUGAGUAAAAGUAAAAGUUGUUUUCUAUAUAACCUUGUGUGUCCGGGGAGUCUCCAGGCUAAUUCGUGGGAUGAAUCAUUGUUGUGACACUGCAAACGGGGAAGAAAGGCUGCCAGCGGCCUCGCAGCCUCUCCUUACUUUCUUGUGGAGACCCGCCGGUCCAGGGAACGGAGGCCACUGCUGCUGACCCUUGAGAAGCUUCCAUGCCAGCUAGAAGAGCUCAUGCUAGUAGCACAUCGAUUGAUGACCAACGUCUGAGUCUUCAGCUAUGUUGGCGACUUUAUAUGGGCACACUCGGAAUCUGCAACACAUUUUAGGUGGUGGGUUUGGGGAUUUUCCCUGCGGGCACUGAAGACCCAAGAAGCUCGUGUUUGUACCUCUAUCUGCAAAGAGCCAGGGGAGAAGCUUGGAAGGGUCUCUCUCCACUCUUGGCUUUAACUGGAGCAAAAUCCCAAAUAAAAGCGUCAGAGGCAGGGCGGGUUCUUCACCACUACAGCCUCCUGGGAAGCCCCAUACAAAGCGGUACAAGGGG
ensembl:lncRNA